rnacentral:rRNA from 1 species
GACGUAGGGGGCCAGCGUUGCUCGGAAUAACUGGGCGUAAAGGGUUCGUAGGCGGUGUGGGUAGUCGGGAGUGAAAUCGUCUGGCUCAACUGGACGGCUGCUUCCGAAACUCCCAUGCUGGAGUGCGGGAGAGGCGAGUGGAAUUGCAGGUGUAGCGGUGAAAUGCGUAGAUAUCUGCAGGAACACCAGUGGCGAAAGCGGCUCGCUGGACCGCAACUGACGCUGAGGAACGAAAGCUAGGGGAGCAAAC